AGUGAACGCUGGCGGUAGGCCUAACACAUGCAAGUCGAACGGCAGCACAGGAGAGCUUGCUCUCUGGGUGGCGAGUGGCGGACGGGUGAGGAAUACAUCGGAAUCUACUCUGUCGUGGGGGAUAACGUAGGGAAACUUACGCUAAUACCGCAUACGACCUACGGGUGAAAGCAGGGGACCCUCGGGCCUUGUGCGAUUGAAUGAGCCGAUGUCGGAUUAGCUAGUUGGCGGGGUAAAGGCCCACCAAGGCGACGAUCCGUAGCUGGUCUGAGAGGAUGAUCAGCCACACUGGAACUGAGACACGGUCCAGACUCCUACGGGAGGCAGCAGUGGGGAAUAUUGGACAAUAGGCGCAAGCCUGAUCCAGCCAUACCGCGUGGGUGAAGAAGGCCUUCGGGUUGUAAAGCCCUUUUGUUGGGAAAGAAAUCCAGCUGGCUAAUACCCGGUUGGGAUGACGGUACCCAAAGAAUAAGCACCGGCUAACUUCGUGCCAGCCGCCGCGGUAA
rnacentral:rRNA from 1 species